CCUACGGGUGGCAGCAGUAGGGAAUCUUCCACAAUGGGUGAAAGCCUGAUGGAGCAACGCCGCGUGGGUGAAGAAGGUCUUCGGAUCGUAAAACCCUGUUGUUAGAGAAGAAAGUGCGUGAGAGUAACUGUUCACGUUUCGACGGUAUCUAACCAGAAAGCCACGGCUAACUACGUGCCAGCAGCCGCGGUAAUACGUAGGUGGCAAGCGUUGUCGGAUUUAUUGGGCGUAAAGGGAAUGCAGGCGGUCUUUUAAGCCUGAUGUGAAAGCCUACGGCUUAACCGGAGUAGUGCAUUGGAAACUGGGAGACGUGAGUGCAGAAGAGGCGAGUGGAACUCCAUGUGUAGCGGUGAAAUGCGUAGAUAUACGGAAGAACACCAGUGGCGAAAGCGGAUCUCUGGUCAGUAACUGACGCUGAGGUUCGAAAGCGUGGGUAGCAAACAGGAUUAGAUACCCGAGUAGUC
rnacentral:rRNA from 1 species